rnacentral:rRNA from 1 species
ACGGAAGGCAGCAGUGGGGAAUAUUGGGCAAUGGGCGGAAGCCUGACCCAGCAACGCCGCGUGAGGGAAGAAGGUUUUCGGAUUGUAAACCUCUGUCCUUGAUGACGAACACAAUGACGGUAAUCAAGGAGGAAGCCCCGGCUAACUACGUGCCAGCAGCCGCGGUAAUACGUAGGUUGCAAGCGUUGUCCGGAUUUACUGGGUGUAAAGGGCGUGUAGGCGGAGCUGCAAGUCAGAUGUGAAAUCCCGGGGCUCAACCCCGGAACUGCAUUUGAAACUGUAGCCCUUGAGUAUCGGAGAGGCAAGCGGAAUUCCUAGUGUAGCGGUGAAAUGCGUAGAUAUUAGGAGGAACACCAGUGGCGAAGGCGGCUUGCUGGACGACAACUGACGCUGAGGCGCGAAAGCGUGGGGAGCAAACAGGAUUAGAUACCCUGGUA